rnacentral:rRNA from 1 species
GGGACACGUGGUAUCCUGUCUGAAUAUGGGGGGACCAUCCUCCAAGGCUAAAUACUCCUGACUGACCGAUAGUGAACCAGUACCGUGAGGGAAAGGCGAAAAGAACCCCGGCGAGGGGAGUGAAAAAGAACCUGAAACCGUGUACGUACAAGCAGUGGGAGCACAGGUUUACCUGUGUGACUGCGUACCUUUUGUAUAAUGGGUCAGCGACUUAUAUUCUGUAGCAAGGUUAACCGUAUAGGGGAGCCGUAGGGAAACCGAGUCUUAACCGGGCGUUAAGUUGCAGGGUAUAGACCCGAAACCCGGUGAUCUAGCCAUGGGCAGGUUGAAGGUUGGGUAACACUAACUGGAGGACCGAACCGACUAAUGUUGAAAAAUUAGCGGAUGACCUGUGGCUGGGGGUGAAAGGCCAAUCAAACCGGGAGAUAGCUGGUUCUCCCCGAAAGCUAUUUAGGUAGCGCCUCGUGAAUUCAUCUCCGGGGGUAGAGCACUGUUUCGGCUAGGGGGCCAUCCCGGCUUACCAACCCGAUGCAAACUGCGAAUACCGGAGAAUGUUAUCACGGGAGACACACGGCGGGUGCUAACGUCCGUCGUGAAGAGGGAAACAACCCAGACCGCCAGCUAAGGUCCCAAAGUCAUGGUUAAGUGGGAAACGAUGUGGGAAGGCCCAGACAGCCAGGAUGUUGGCUUAGAAGCAGCCAUCAUUUAAAGAAAGCGUAAUAGCUCACUGGUCGAGUCGGCCUGCGCGGAAGAUGUAACGGGGCUAAACCAUGCACCGAAGCUGCGGCAGCGACGCUUAUGCGUUGUUGGGUAGGGGAGCG